rnacentral:rRNA from 1 species
CGGGGGGCAGCAGUGGGGAAUAUUGGGCAAUGGACGCAAGUCUGACCCAGCGACGCCGCGUGCGGGAUGAAGGCCUUCGGGUUGUAAACCGCUUUCAGCAGGGAAGAAGCGAAAGUGACGGUACCUGCAAAAGAAGCACCGGCUAACUAUGUGCCAGCAGCCGCGGUAAUACAUAGGGUGCAAGCGUUGUCCGGAAUUAUUGGGCGUAAAGAGUUCGUAGGUGGUUCGUUACGUCGGAUGUGAAAAUCUGGGGCUCAACCCCAGACCUGCAUUCGAUACGGGCGAGCUAGAGUUUGGUAGGGGAGACUGGAAUUCCUGGUGUAGCGGUGGAAUGCGCAGAUAUCAGGAGGAACACCAAUGGCGAAGGCAGGUCUCUGGGCCAAUACUGACACUGAGGAACGAAAGCGUGGGGAGCGAACAGGAUUAGAUACCCGAGU